rnacentral:lncRNA from 1 species
UGGCGAAACACAUCUGCCGCGCCUCCCACGCCCUCGCCUGUUGCAACUCGCGGAUCUAGCAGUCCGGCUUGCGACGCUUCCUCCCUGCACGUGUGGAUACCUUGGAGGUGUUGCGCCUGCAGCACUUGGACGAGCCGCCGACGAGCCACGACGAGCCGCCGCCGAGCCGCGGCACGAGGACGAUCUUGCUGCACGUGGACGAGCUGCUGAGGAGCUGCUAGAUGUUGACGUGAUGGACUACGUACGACUACGUUGAUCGUCUUCACUGCAUCGACGCAAAUCUACAUCUUCCGCACCAGUAGUGCGUCGAGUGGUAAUCCCGUGAUCCUUAUACGACAAUUCUUCCUGGUUUUACGCUGUAGAAAUUUUGAUUUGCGCUAGUGUAGCCUACCUCGUAUCCCAACAGUGUCCUGGACUGCCUCACCUCGCCCAAGGGGGAAACCAGUCCUCGUGCGCGUGGCCGGCGGCCGAGCCCUCCUCCCCGCCGACGCACCACGACAGCACCGACCUCCUCCCCAUGUAUGUUUCUAACUUGUGUGUUUUCUUGUCAUAGGUUUUGCACGAUGAUAAAUUGUUUGAGGAGAUGACCAAGGUAUGUCUACCCAUCCUGGGCUGCUUGUUUCUCUGUUCAAACUCUGAAGCAAUCACAGUUGGGUGAAUC